rnacentral:rRNA from 1 species
CGGACGGGUGAGUAACGCGUGAGAAUCUGCCUUCAGGUCUGGGACAACCACUGGAAACGGUGGCUAGUACCGGAUGUGCCGCAAGGUGAAAGGUUAACUGCCUGAAGAUGAGCUCGCGUCUGAUUAGCUAGUAGGUAGUGUAAAGGACUACCUAGGCGACGAUCAGUAGCUGGUCUGAGAGGACGAUCAGCCACACUGGGACUGAGACACGGCCCAGACUCCUACGGGAGGCAGCAGUGGGGAAUUUUCCGCAAUGGGCGAAAGCCUGACGGAGCAAUACCGCGUGAGGGAGGAAGGCUCUUGGGUCGUAAACCUCUCUUCUCAGGGAAGAACAAAAUGACGGUACCUGAGGAAUAAGCAUCGGCUAACUCCGUGCCAGCAGCCGCGGUAAUACGGAGGAUGCAAGCGUUAUCCGGAAUGAUUGGGCGUAAAGCGUCCGCAGGUGGCUAUGUAAGUCUGCUGUUAAAGAGUCUAGCUCAACUAGAUAAGAGCAGUGGAAACUACAUGGCUAGAGUGCGUUCGGGGCAGAGGGAAUUCCUGGUGUAGCGGUGAAAUGCGUAGAGAUCAGGAAGAACACCGGUGGCGAAGGCGCUCUGCUAGGCCGCAACUGACACUGAGGGACGAAAGCUAGGGGAGCGAAUGGGAUUAGAUACCCCAGUAGUC